rnacentral:rRNA from 1 species
AUUGAACGCUGGCGGCAGGCCUAACACAUGCAAGUCGAGCGGAUGAAGGGAGCUUGCUCCUGGAUUCAGCGGCGGACGGGUGAGUAAUACCUAGGAAUCUGCCUGGUAGUGGGGGAUAACGUCCGGAAACGGGCGCUAAUACCGCAUACGUCCUGAGGGAGAAAGUGAGGGAUCUUCGGACCUCACGCUAUCAGAUGAGCCUAGGUCGGAUUAGCUAGUUGGUGGGGUAAAGGCCUACCAAGGCGACGAUCCGUAACUGGUCUGAGAGGAUGAUCAGUCACACUGGAACUGAGACACGGUCCAGACUCCUACGGGAGGCAGCAGUGGGGAAUAUUGGACAAUGGGCGAAAGCCUGAUCCAGCCAUGCCGCGUGUGUGAAGAAGGUCUUCGGAUUGUAAAGCACGUUAAGUUGGGAGGAAGGGCAGUAAGUUAAUACCUUGCUGUUUUGACGUUACCAACAGAAUAAGCACCGGCUAACUUCGUG